UGCACUGUCUGCAUCCCCGGGGCCUUUCAUCUCUUCUGUUUCCAUUUGUCACAACUUCCCAGAAAGUGGGCUGUGGCAGAAUGCAUCUCGCCUGACUCCAGCCAGCUGCAGGUGUCUGGAAGAGGGUUGAAGAUGGUCAGAUGCUAAGGGCAGAGCCCCUCUUCUUCUCUCCACCCCCAAGCCCCAAGUGCCAGGGUAAGAAAGCUGAGAUUCAGAAGGGUUCUGCACAAGAGAGCCAAUUUUUGGAUGCUACCACACAGAGAGAGACAACAGCCAGUCAGUCUUGAAGAGCAGCAGCCAACCAACAGAGAGGUGGCCACUUCCCCAUGGCCUCCCAGUCCCUGUCCACAGCCCCGCCGCAGACAGGAGCAGGGGGGGAUGUGGCAGAGGACAGACCGCCUUCCGCCACCCUCCACUCAGGCCACCAGGGCCAUGGCCACAUCUAGCUUCCCUGGGAGUGGAGGCCGAGAGCUUUGAAGGAGAGCUUGAC